UUGUUAAAUCUAAAUUAUUAUUUAAAAUAUUUAGGUGUGCCGCCAAAUUUUGAGAGAGAAAAAAAGGUUUGACAAUAAAUAAACUCGCUGAUGUAAAUGCACCAACAUUCGAUGCCGAGUUGUUGUAACACGUGUAGAAUGGAAACGAUGGCGUGGAGUAUCGUCGAUAUCAGAAACUUAGCUAAUUAAUUAAUAAUUACAUUAAGAUUGGAUGGUUUACGAUAAACGAUAUUUUCGAAAUAAUAGUAAUCUAUCACAUAGUAGCGAAAUGUUUCUCGGAUAUCAAGUCGCUCUAUGGUAAAACCGAUAAUAAUUUCUUUUUCCAAUAAACUCGAUGGAACUCCCGUAGUUUUAACUAUUAUUUUACUGCGCGGUUUCCAGGAAAUUUCCACCGCCACUUUUAAAAUAUUAAAGUUUUUCGGACAAUUCUUCCUCUCUCUCUCUCUUUUUUUUCUGUUUAUAAAUGCGAUUUUUCCGAGAAAAAAAUUGAUUGGCGGAGCGACGGAAAUUCCAAUCAAUAGGAAAAAAAGCAAUUUAUUUAAAAGUAAUUUAGUAUUGUAAUUUUAGCAACCGGCGGUCAAGUCGCAAUUAAAUCAGCCAACGGUCGAUUUGAAAUGAUGACUGUUAGUAGAAUUUUGCCACUAAACGGGGGAAAAAAAAAUAAUAAUAAUAAUGGCGGCGAACUAUUUAUUUUGGAUUGAUGAGCGUAUAAAAAAAGAUUAAUUGGAUGUUUCUGUAAUAGUAAUAAAUGCGUUUUAUGUGAUUUGCAAUUAUUAGUUAAGUCUAUCUACUUAGAAUAAAUGAUACUAAUCCUUGAUCGAUUGGCCUGCGGCUGCCAAACCGCCGUGAAUGAGUAAGGCGCGUGCCUUUGAAUGAUGUGGUAGAUCGUGCCACUGACCUCCUGUUAGACUGUUGCGUGACCUUCUGUGUUUGAGCGCGCUUCCACUCCUUCCCCGGUAUGUAUAUCGAGAGAGAACACUGUUUGGGCUUCUGGGUUUCGAAGACAAGGCGUAGUGCCACACGCGAACAAUCUAACCCACCCCUUUACGUCUCACCUCAUUGGUUAACUCUUCGCGUGACGUAACACGCUACUUCCGUCACGCAGUCGACUUAUCGUAAUCGACGUUGUUGUUUUGAUGGAGUGAAAAGGUCAGACACGCAUUACCUUGUUUACGUCGCCCAAUAGUCAUCUGUCCCCAUACCAAUAAUGGGAUAACUGAGCUUGGCUUGUAAAAUAACAAAACGAUUAAAACAAUAUUUACAAUUGAUUUAAUUAGGUUUAUGUUGUUGUCCUUAUUGAUUAUCUGACGCUCCAGAUAACGCUCUUACGAACAAUUUUCCCAUAGGUUCCCGAUACGUCCGAUUUAUGUACUCUCGCUUGUUUGUCCCAAAUGAAUGUUUUCCAAACCGACACCGCUCAGUUUUAUACACUACGUAUCUACUAUCCAUACACACAUUGUUAAUGUUUUACUGGCGAAAAUUAAGUUCUUCUUGCAUCCACUCUUCAUCCGAUUCUAUCUAAAUUUCGAUAGAAAAUAGUUCUGCCAUUCGUUCUUAAUCUAUGUUUAAUAGAUCAAAUUUCAAAAUUAAAAACUUGAGAAAUCCUACUAUUUUUUAAAUCCAAUAUAUUUUCAAAGCAUAUCUAGAAGUUUUUAGAUUAAUAU
rnacentral:lncRNA from 1 species